rnacentral:tRNA from 1 species
GGAGAGGUUCCCGAGUGGCCAAAGGGAGCAGACUGUAAAUCUGUUGCUAUCAGCUUCGAUGGUUCGAAUCCAUCCCUCUCCACCA